GAUUUCGCAAUAGGUACAGAUUCAGCUAAUAUAACUAAACAAACGUGAACCGUAAUGGAUUAGGGAAACUCCGGUGCAAUUCCGGGGCUGUGCCGCAACUGUAAAUGAAGUUAUGAGUUGUAAGGGAUUAGUUAUGGUUUGUGAAUCAGUUGAUUUAAUAAAUUGAAUUGUUAACUCCUAACUUCUCACUCCUAACUUCUUAGCCAGAAUGCCUUUCUGUUAUUUGCUCACUUUA
rnacentral:ncRNA from 16 species